rnacentral:lncRNA from 1 species
GGCCCCCUCCGCCCGGCCGCCGGCCAGAGCGGCGCCUCGCUGCGGGGAGGCGGCCCGCACGCACCCGCCGGAGCGCGCGCGCGCACGCACCCGCCGGAGCGCGCUCGCCCGCCCGCCCGCGCGGGCACGCGCCCGGCCAACGGCCGCCCGGUGGCGCCGCGGGGGGGGGGAAGGGGGGGAGAGAGGGGGCGCCGCCGCCGAGAGCCCGCCCCGGCCCCGCCGCGCAGGCGCCGGGGGACGGAGGGGGGCGGGCGGGUGCUGAGGGGGUCCCGGCCCCGAGGGGGGGGCGGCUGAGGGGGGGGUCGCCGAGCGGUGCCCCUGUCCCUGUCAGCGCCGUGCUGAGGGGAGGCAGCGCCUGACGGGAGCCCCCCGCCAGCCCGCCGCGGUCUGCUGGCCUCCCUCGGUGGCAUUUCCGCGUGGUGCCUUUUUUUUUUAAUUCCCAUCAUGACUUAGUGGUUUCUUUUAUUAUUUUUUUUUUCUUUUUUUUUUGGUUACACUUAACCAAACUGGAAUAAUUGGAGGUGUUUUUGGCUGCCCUGUCGGUAGCGGUCCUGUUUUUCACGCUACCUUGUUAGCACGCAGGAGGGAAGGAGUUACCGAGGAAAAUGGAUGUCAGAGGAACCUGCCGCAUCCCCGCGAGUUCGCCGCUCCUCUGAAUCUUUGGUCUCCUUUGGCUUCUUGGGAAGAAAACGGGACAAAGUGCGGAGCUCCGCUUGGGCGUGUGGGGCAGAGAGAAGACAGGGACUCCAGUGUAGAUCCGUGAAGAAUUUUGAUGAUCUCUGUGGAGGGUGACAGAGCAGCAACCUUGUCAGUCACCGUGGCUCCGAAGGUCCAGGAGGAGUAGCAAGCAGUCAGACCUGAUUUUAGAUCCGCAAAAACUGCACCGUAGCAAGGAGCUCCUGAAGUGAGGAACCAAGAAAUGUGAAGGAGAAUCUCAGCCUCAGAUGAGCGGAAAGGCAUUUCCUUCCUCACAAUUACAUCUUCUCCUGGACAGGAGCUUCUCACAAGAAACCCAGGCAGUCUUCUCUCCAUUUCUUGCAUUGAUCUCGUUCUCCAGCACGUACCUGGUUCAGGGCUUGCAAGGAACAUGGUGGAAUUGCUUCAGACAGCUACCACCAUCCACGCUCCUGCAACUGACUCUGUACAGCCAGGCCUCUGACUGCACAGCCUCUGGCAAAGGACACAAGGGACCACUCUGCUUUUGGGGGCCCAGCUGCAGAAGGCAGGAGGUGGGUCAGAUAAUGGUAGAACACAGCUCUAGCUUUUGUGUAGUGUGCAUUAGCUUAACACAAGGAAGGUGUGAUGAUUACACACAGGCUCUGGGUGCAUGCUACUUUGUCUUGUGA